AUUCUAUGAUGGGGACAUUCUAGGAUGUAGUCUUGGAAGAGCUCCCAUGCUUCUGGAACGGAUUCGUCAUUUUGUUGCUGAAAACUUGUAAUCUUCCCACGGAGAGC
rfam:Sorghum bicolor cultivar BTx623 chromosome 6, whole genome shotgun sequence.